AAAAAUUAGGAUAUAUCGCCUGUAUAUCUAGGUCACGGUAACAGUUCCAAUGUCGUCUGUUGACAACGUGUGUAAACAACUUCUAAGUUACAGCCCAUCGCUCAGAAGAAAGGAAGGUUUAUCAGAAAGGAUAAAUGCAUGCGUUCUUUUAAAAUAAAGAAUAUGAAUAGCUUCAACUUGAAAGUUCACACAGUCUUAAAUGAUUCUCAACUUAUAAGAUCAUAUGAUAUAAGUUUUUGGAAGUUGGAGAAAUUCGGCGUCCGAUCACAGACAGUGACUCUCCGUUUGACGAAACCUGGAAAGAAGGUCGAAGGAUAGCUCCAGUUGAUCACCUAGUGCAGAAUAAGUUCGUUAAGAUAUAAAACUGUCCCCUGCGGAUACUGUCUGUGAACGGAAAUACGACCGUCAAGGCUUGGACCAGGAGCCGAGGCGGAGGCCGUGGAGCUUUUUGUCCAUACCAUAUCGUUGUAGCUGCAGUGAAUGUAACCUGCUUAUCAUACAUGUGUAACAGUGUUGAAACGAGGAAAGAAAUGGAACUGGUGAAUUGUUAUCAAUUCAAAAGCUGUACAUGGAAUGAUACAUGCAGGAAUUUGUGCCACACAUUUCAACAAUUUCCUUAAUGGAUUGAAUGUACUUUAUGUGAAUUCAUCAGCCAUACUUAAAAAGAAAAAGGAGAAUGAAACUGGAAAGAAAAUAUUUGCAGUUGCAAAAGAAUGCUGUAAAUAAAUUCAAAAGAAGAAACAGUUUUAAACAUGGUUAAUUUAAUGAAUAAUUGGAAGGUUGAAGCUACUUUUGUUGCAGAAUGGCAAAUGUUUGGUACUGGUUGAAACUAUGAAAGUGAUACAGGUCCCAUGGUAAUCAUUUAACAGCAGGUUUUUAACAGCAGUUAUGCAGAAAAAUGAAGGAUGACUGUCAAUGGUAAAUACAUACAUUUUAGGAUGAUUACAUGUAGUUACCUUUGAGAAAAAACUUGAGGUUUCAUUUGACACUUUUUAAUCUAAUAAUGGUGUUUUGCAGGCAUUUAUAACAUUUCUUUUUGGACAAUAUAUUUAGUAGACUCAACUAUAAAAUGAAGGAUCAUGUAAACUUGUACACAUAUGUCACUGACCUACAUUUUCCACUUCAUUGACUUUGGUAACAUUAAACAUCCAAUUUCAUAUACAACAAAGGUAUAUCUCAGCAAC